AGAGAAAGAGAGAGAGAGAGCACGGAAGAUCUAGCCCAUCACCUUUCCGUCUCUGGUUGUGUCUGUCCCGUCCCCCCCUGCUGCGGCCUCUCCUCUCUGCUCCCGUGCUGGCCUUCAUUUCACAGAUGACAGAGGAACCUCAUACAACCCCCUGCCAGCCUGACAUUUCAGAGAGAGGAGCGGAGGCUACAGAAGGAGAAAAGGAGCUAGAGUGCAGCCUAUACAUACAUAUAUAACUCU